rnacentral:snoRNA from 8 species
AAGACUAUACUUUCAGGGAUCAUUUCUAUAGUUCGUUACUUGAGAAAUGUGUGUCUAAAGUGGUAGGUCUCGCUAUCCAUGAUGACGAUUCAAGAUAUUUCCGUU